CGCCGCGUUGUGCGCUCGACGACACGCCCGGGCUUGGACGCCCCGCGCCCGCUCCUGGAGCAGAUUUCUAGCUCAGUUACCAGUCAAAGUGCAGCGAUGAUUGUUGUGUUCAAGUGAAUAGAAGUAAAGACAGUGAAGAUUUCCACCGCAGAACUCUCUGGAAUGCAUGCUCAGCUGCCCCCAGCACAUUACCAUCCCUACAGAGAAGAUCACUCGCUGUCCUCAUUGCUGUGGGAUCCAAAGCUGGAGGAGAACUCUGGCCACCAGACAGGAAAUGCAUGAAAGGGAAGAACCUGUCUUGGAGUGCAGCCAGGGAAGGGUGUCCAUGGGAGCCUGUCACUGAUCUAACCUGACUCUGCCCUAUGAGGACUGUGUAUCAAGACCCCACCUCAGUCCCAACAAAAAAUCAGCCCAGCAAGCCAGAGACAGAUUCACCCUGAGGAGCCCUGUAGACCAUGAAGACUCUGAGCAACUGGGGAGGACACAGUGGAGGCUGCCAGCCAAGUCCUGAAUGUAGUGAACAGAGCAGUGUGGGGAAUGUUGGCUCUGGGAGGCUGUGAUCACUUUGUCACAUGAUCCUGUAUCAGCAGGGUCUGGGCACCAGGGGGAGUUGGAGGUCUGUUAUUGGGGGUCUGGGUGUGAGCAGAGCUGGGAUCAGCCAUCUGGUGUGCCUGGUGCCCUCUGCUCAGGAUCACAGUUCUGACCAACCCACCCCCUGGGACCAAACAGCCCCACCCCUGACACUCAGGCAGAGGGGCCUGACCACAGCCCAGGGUGGGAUCAGAAAGCUGGGGGAUCAUUUGCAUGGAGAAUGGGGCCUCCCUUCUCAAGGUAUGAAAAGGAGACAGUCAGACCUGGGGGAGCUGUGCCUCAGCUGUGGGCACAGAAAUCAGGACUCAGGACAGUCUCCACCAUGACCUGGUCCCAUCUCCUCCUCACCCUCCUGACUCACUGAACAGGUGACCAGACAUGGGCCAGGAGAAGGGCCCUGGGGAGACCCUGGGCCCCUGCUGUCUUCUUUUCUCUCCAGACCCAGAAUCACCAUGUCUGUGUCUCACCCUUCCAGGGUCCUGGGCCCAGUCUGUGCAGACUCAGCCGUCAUCGAUGUCUGGAUCCCUGGGGAAGAUGGUCACCAUCUCCUGCUUGGGAAGCAGCAGCAACAUCGGGUGUGGUAUUUAUGUGAACUGGUACCAGCAGCUCCAGGGAACAGCCCCUAAAUCCAUCAUCUAUGAGGCUCUUAUCCAGAGGAGAGUUAAAGGACAGAAGUUUAGCAAGUAACCUGGAGGAUUAGAGCUGAGCCAAGAGAGAAGGUUGAAGAAUGCACAUCAACCCUGCUGAGGCGAGCGGUGACCCCAAGGAUACAAACAAAAGGUAUAAAAUCCAUCUUCAAGUGGA